UACGGGGGGAGCAAGCGUUGUUCGGAUUUACUGGGCGUAAAGAGCGCGCAGGCGGUCGAUUUAGUCGCGUGUGAAAGCCCCCGGCUCAACUGGGGAGGGUCACGCGAUACUGAUCGACUCGAAGGCAGGAGAGGGUAGUGGAAUUCCCGGUGUAGUGGUGAAAUGCGUAGAUAUCGGGAGGAACACCAGUGGCGAAGGCGACUACCUGGCCUGUUCUUGACGCUGAGGCGCGAAAGCUAGGGGAGCAAACGGG
rnacentral:rRNA from 1 species